rnacentral:rRNA from 1 species
UACAGAGGCCUCAAGCGUUGUUCGGAUUCAUUGGGCGUAAAGGGUGCGUAGGCGGCGCGGUAAGUCGGGUGUGAAAUCUCGGAGCUUAACUCCGAAACUGCAUUCGAUACUGCCGUGCUUGAGGACUGGAGAGGAGACUGGAAUUUACGGUGUAGCGGUGAAAUGCGUAGAUAUCGUAAGGAAGACCAGUGGCGAAGGCGGGUCUCUGGACAGCUCCUGACGCUGAGGCACGAAGGUCAGGGGAGCAAACGGG